rnacentral:lncRNA from 1 species
AGUAAAAAGAAAGAAUGGACUAAAACAGAGGAAGAAAAUCCAGAAAAGGAGGACUCCAAUCCAGAUUAAAGGAAUUUCCAAAAUGGUGGCUGAGACAAAACCUGGGGUUCAAGUCAUGUUACAGAGAUGGUGUUCCAGAUUAGUGCAGAAUAGUGGGCUCAAGAAGAAAUGCCUUCAAGAAAAGAUUGAAACCAACACACUACAAGUUUGACAUUGGAAAAGUUGAAUUGAAGAGUUGUUGGAAGAGGAAGAGCUGCCCUCAGCGUGGCCGGGCAACAUCUAAUCGGCUGAAAGCUUGGAUCGAAUGAAAAGGCAGAGGAAAGGGUUCUGAAGACCUCAAAUGGACUGAGCCACACUACCAGCAUCCAGCAUCCAUGGUUCUCCAGUCUGCAGAUGGCCUAUUAUGGGACUUUUCAGUCUUCAUAAUUAUGAUGAGAGAAAGAAAAUGAAAAGGAUUUGUAAACUAUAAAUCUCUAAACAGAUGGGAGGAAAGGAAUUGAUGAAACAAUAAAUUUAUUGAUGAAACAAUAAAAAUAAACAUAAAGAAC